UACGAAGGGGCUAGCGUUGCUCGGAAUCACUGGGCGUAAAGGGUGCGUAGGCGGGUCUUUAAGUCAGGGUGAAAUCCUGGAGCUCAACUCCAGAACUGCCUUUGAUACUGAGGAUCUUGAGUUCGGGAGAGGUGAGUGGAACUGCGAGUGUAGAGGUGAAAUUCGUAGAUAUUCGCAAGAACACCAGUGGCGAAGGCGGCUCACUGGCCCGAUACUGACGCUGAGGCACGAAAGCGUGGGAGCAACAG
rnacentral:rRNA from 1 species